AUGUUGCAGAAAUGACAGUCUGACUCAAAGAUACUCAAAGGCUUGAGCCUGCUACCUUCCUUCUCCUUGAAUAACAUGCACUGGGGCAGGGCCUCUCACCCUCCCAACUACUGACAUUUGGAGCAGGAUAACUCUUAUAACUCUUCACUGUGAGGAUCACAUCCAAGGAUGUUCAGGAGAUCAGUACCCUGAUCUCUAAUCACUAGAGGUUUGUAGCACUCCCACACAGUGGCAGCAACCAAAAGCAUCUCUAGACAGAGCUGAAAGUUUCCUGGGGGACAAGAUCACCCCCAAGGACGACAAUUGCCAUGUGGUGAGGACAUGCAAACAGUCAUGGAAGAGUCCGCCUGCCAAGGCACUGUGGCCUCCUGCCCACGGUCAACACUGACUUUUACUUAUGGGAGAGCCACUUUGGAAAUGGAUAGCAAGCACCAUCAAGUUUCUGAAUGACUGCAACCCCAGGUGGUGACAGGUAAUGUCAAUGGAGUGUUUUCUUCUAAUGAAAAACACCUGAAAACAUAAAAGGAUCCGAGGAAAAACCCAGGAAGGGCUGAGGCUAAGACUGCACUCCUGGCCCCUUCAUGCCGCCCUCAGCUGACGAUGUGCUGGGCUCGUUCACGGCCCUCACUGCGGCUGGGCUGCAGACACUGAGCCACAUGAGGGCAGAGGCCUGUGCACACUAUUCAUCAGCAGCAUCCAGGCCCCAGGACAACUCCCAGGGGGGAGGCAGGUGUUCCACGUAACAUGACCACGAGCUGUAGAGAAGCUGAGUCUGGAAGGAGGCACAGUCACAGCUUCUGAGGUGCUGGUGUAAGAGACUGAAGAAAAAACAAGAUUGGCUUAUUUCACUUAGUGUCUCAGGUGGCUCCGUGUUGCCGCGGAUUUAUCCAGACUUGCUGUUUGUUGCUGUGGGAGGAUGAAUACUCUGCAUCUAUUCCUGAGGUCACCAACCAGUAAAUACAUCUCCAUUUGGCAAGAUCAGUGCGGAGAAACUUCCACAGAAACAGCACAUAUGAAAUCUGCUGGGCUGGUUUAAGCAUUCGAUGGGAAGGAGUCAAAUCAGGUUCUAUUUUCAAGUCUCGUGAAGACACUUGCCAACCAAACACAGCUCAAAAUGUUAAUGUGGUUUUUCUCUGAAGUCUUUCUCUCAGAACAGCUCAUUCAAGACUGCAAAGUCUUAUCUGCAUCAUUAUAUAAUCAUCUUCAAUACUAUCUUUCUUCUUAGAAGCAAGUAAAAUACCAACAAGACUUGUGAUGUAAACAAUCUCACUUUGAACUUUCUAUGAACAAACGAUAUGAAAAAGGAUGCUUCUCUGUUGUUUUGUUUUUUUAAUUUCCUUGAUCUUCCAAAUGGCUUUUCACAAAAGAAUUAAU